UCUGGACAGUGUUCUGAUACAGCUCAUUUUCUCUCCUUUUUAGAUGGCGUCUCACCAGAUGUACAUCUGCAUCCCAACUGGGACUCUCCCUGAUGCCUUGGCUGUCUUACCAUCACCUCAAACCAUGCAUGGCUAUCUUGGAAUAAGCUCCAGCUCCAGGAUAUAACUAUGGAAGUCCUCCUGCAAACUGGAUGUUUCGGACUUCUCUUGCCUGGAAGGAUCUUCCCGAGAAUCAAACUGACUGUGAUUCAAAUUUGUGGUUCUGGUCAACCCUUUUCCCAAGGAUCGUUUGGGUCUUCUCUCUGAGAAGGGGAUCCAUCUCCAAAACAAACCCCUUCAAGUACCGCAGGAAAUCUAAGUGGCA